rnacentral:rRNA from 1 species
UUAAGCGACUAAGCGUACACGGUGGAUGCCCUGGCAGUCAGAGGCGAUGAAGGACGUGCUAAUCUGCGAAAAGCGUCGGUAAGGUGAUAUGAACCGUUAUAGCCGGCGAUGUCCGAAUGGGGAAACCCAGUGCAAUUCGUUGCACUAUCGUUAACUGAAUACAUAGGUUAACGAGGCGAACCGGGGAACUGAAACAUCUAAGUACCCCGAGGAAAAGAAAUCAACCGAGAUUCCCCAGUAG